rnacentral:rRNA from 1 species
GUGGGGAAUAUUGGACAAUGGGCGCAAGCCUGAUCCAGCCAUACCGCGUGGGUGAAGAAGGCCUUCGGGUUGUAAAGCCCUUUUGUUGGGAAAGAAAUCCUGUCGGUUAAUACCUGGCGGGGAUGACGGUACCCAAAGAAUAAGCACCGGCUAACUUCGUGCCAGCAGCCGCGGUAAUACGAAGGGUGCAAGCGUUACUCGGAAUUAUUGGGCGUAAAGCGUGCGUAGGUGGUGGUUUAAGUCCGUUGUGAAAGCCCUGGGCUCAACCUGGGAAUUGCAGUGGAUACUGGAUCACUAGAGUGUGGUAGAGGGAUGCGGAAUUUCUGGUGUAGCAGUGAAAUGCGUAGAGAUCAGAAGGAACAUCCGUGGCGAAGGCGGCAUCCUGGGCCAACACUGACACUGAGGCACGAAAGCGUGGGGAGCAAACAGGAUUAGAUACCCGUGUAGUCC